AAAGUUUGAUUUUGGCUUUUAAAUAGCGGUUAGGUUGCAGAUUUAUGGUAUUUUUGGUAUUAAAUUAGAGCUUACCAAUGCGGAGGGUUAAAGUGCUAAGGAGACUUAGAUUUAUAAAUCUAUAAAGAGAUGGCUAAAAUUGUGCCAGCAGCUGCGGUUAAACAAUUGUCUCUAGUUAUUUGUUUUGGUGGAAUUAUAGACUAAAUAGUAAUACUUAUACUUUAUUAAAAUUAGGUAAAAUAAAAUUUAAUUUAUGAGCCUUAAAGGUAAAGAAGGAAUAUAGUGAAAUUUAGGUUAAAACUAGGAUUAGAUACCCUAUUAUACUAAAAGUAAAGCUUUCUAGGUUAUUAUGAGUGUAAGCUUAAACUCUAAAGGAUUUGGCGGUUUUUUGAAAUCAGGGGAGCUUGUUGUAUAAUUGAUAGUCCACAAUUAUUUCUUUUAAUUAUAGUUUGUGUAUUUCCGUUAUCCGUUUUUUUUUAAUAAUCUUGAAAAAAACAAAGCACAGUUAUGUUUCAUUUCAGGUUAAAUGCAGCCGAUAUAAAAGUAUUGAUGAGUUACAUUAGAGAGAGAACAGGAGUUUGAAGUAUUUUAGAAGAGAAAAGAUAGGACUUGAAAGUAAGAGAAAAAAAUCAGUUUUUUUGAAUAAAAGAGAAAAAUGUACAUAUCGCCCGUCGCUCUUGAAUGUGAGAUAAGUCGUAACAUAGUAAGGUUAGUGGAAACUGGUCUUAGA
rnacentral:ncRNA from 1 species